GGCCCACAGCUGCCCCCGGGCUCGAGCCAGGGGCAGCACAGCUCUGCUGAUGGUCUCCUUCUCUGGGACCCUGUUGGGGAUGGAAGCCAGGGUCAGGGUGUGUGCUGCUCCUUGUUCCUACCCACCAUGGGCCAUGCACACACAGUGCAGAGAGAGCCCAGGGUUCCAGGGUGGGCCCCCACGGGGAUGCCCUCUGCGCCCACAGCACUCCACUAAGAAACAGGGGGUGCUCAGGCCCACCAGGCUCCCCUCUCCUGGGGCACUUCUCUUCAGGGCUAUCUCUCACCCUGGCUCUGCUGGCCUGGCCCCCCACCUCCUUCAGGCCUGGUCACGGAAGCGUCUGUCCCUCAGGGAAAUCUUCCUGGACAGACCUGACUUCCAGCUGUGCUGAGGGAAGCUGCGGCUGUCAACGAGAACAGCAGGGCUCACGCCACCCCCAUCCCCACCCGCAAGCUAUGUGGCCCUGGACAAGCUGCUUGCCUUCUCUGAGCCACCAGUCCUCGUCUGCAGCACUGGAUAAGAGGGUGGCAGUGGGGAUGACGUGCGCUGCAGGGGCUGCUGACCUGGCUGGCUCUUCCCUUGCUUCCAGAAGAGGGACAUCCCUCAGUGCCCUUCACUUUGGAGGGUUUGAGACCCCUCCUGAACGCCCUGAUCUUGCCUUGCCCAUGGAUGACCCUGAGCACUUUGUGGCCUCUCUCCCUCUCUCUGCUCGAGUCCCUGCCCUCCGCCUGCUUUGUGACCACCAGCGCCUGGCACAAACAAGCCGCCCUCCCACCGGCCAUAUGAGCGGCCCCUCACCGGGCC